GAACACAACUUCCCACCCAUCAUCAGUUUCUAAUUAACCUUGUACAUAGUUUGUGCUAAUGAUGGCGGUCUCCGAGAACUCUCGCCGCUCCUCUAUGAUUCCCUCCUUCCUAUACUCCUCCUCAUCAUCAACAACAGCUACAACAACAAAUGGAGUAGUGUCGACAAAGAAUAGCAUAAUGGUUGCAGCUCCGAGUGAGAAGAUAAAGAUGUACUCACCAGCAUUUUAUGCAGCUUGUACUGCUGGUGGCAUGCUCAGUUGUGGUCUAACUCAUACCGCUGUCACUCCUCUUGAUCUUGUCAAGUGUAAUAUGCAGAUUGAUCCAGCAAAGUAUAAGAAUAUAAGCUCUGGGUUUGGAAUUUUGGUGAGAGAGCAAGGGAUCAAGGGCUUGUUCAGGGGUUGGGCUCCAACUUUUCUUGGUUACAGUGCUCAAGGAGCUUUUAAAAUGGGGGGUUAUGAGUUCUUCAAGAAGUAUUAUUCAGAUAUUGCAGGUCCUGAGUACGCGACCAAGUAUAAAACCUUGAUAUACCUGGCUGGCUCAGCAUCUGCAGAGGUGAUUGCUGAUGUUGCCCUUUGCCCUUUCGAGGCUGUCAAAGUUCGUGUGCAGACUCAACCUGGCUUUGCUCGAGGCCUGUCUGACGGUCUCCCUAAGUUUGUCAAGUCUGAAGGUGUUAUGGGAUUGUACAAAGGACUAGUUCCUCUAUGGGGCCGUCAGAUUCCAUAUACAAUGAUGAAGUUUGCAUCAUUUGAGACCAUCGUGGAGCUAAUGUACAAGCAUGCAAUUCCUACACCUAAAGACGAGUGCAGCAAAACACUGCAGCUUGGAGUUAGCUUUGCUGGUGGAUAUGUUGCUGGUGUACUUUGUGCUGUUGUAUCACACCCUGCAGACAACUUGGUUUCUUUCCUCAACAACGCUAAGGGUGCAUCUGUUAGCGAUGCUGUGAAGAAGUUAGGACUAUUGGGUUUAUUUACGCGUGGCCUUCCCCUUCGUAUAGUCAUGAUCGGAACCCUUACUGGCGCUCAAUGGGGUAUCUAUGAUGCUUUUAAAGUGUCUGUUGGCCUGCCAACUACCGGUGGAGCCUCUCCUGCUAUUGAAGCUAAAGAAUGAACCAGAGUGUUCGUCAACAAUAGACAAUCUUCUCAUGAUUUGUACACUAAUACCUGUUUUGACAGAUAGAAGACUCCAUCCGGUUUUGUGAGUCCACGCGAACUCGGAGUUGCACCAAUUCUGGAGGGCGACCGCAUUCUGUUCUACUGCACUGGGAGGUAGCGCAUAAUCGUUUUUAGGACAGUGGGUGUCCACGACGCAACAAUUGUUCAUCAAUCCGUUCACCAAUCAGAUAAGUUUGUUCUGAUUUUUGGUAUUAUCGCAACAGUAGGAACAUCCACAGCCAAAUCAUAUAAGACUCCAUAUAGCCAUUUCAGCUCGCUUGUUGUAUGUGACAUAUUCAGCUUCACAUAGGAAGA